AGCCCUGCUCUACAAGCAAAAGGUUGGCCAAACCUGCUUCUGUGGGCCCUUAUCCUCCAGCUGAAGAGCAUAUGAGAGAAUGAUCAGAUGGAGAAGACAAAGCAAGAGGGAGACAUAAAAUUAUCUCACAGAGCUGCUCUUCAGUCAUGGUCGUGGUAAUGAACCAAGUUUUCAAGAAGAGGCUCGGUACCGAGAGCUGGAAGGACGAGACCUUGUCAGGACUCAGAUCAGCGAGGAAUCAAGCGCAGGAAGAGCAACCACAGGGCUCAGCUGGGGUCUCACAUUUUCCUUGGAUUUAAUAUUUGUGUCAUGUUUGGACUGCAGAAGCUCCUGGAUUAAUCCAGCCACAGUUCCUCUCUGAAUUCCUCUGAGGGUGCAUUUUGCUGGGCGGCUGUGUCUGCCCUUUGGGGCUGACCCACCUUAUGGCUGUUUGAAGGAAGUGCCCUUGCUCUCUGCUGCCAUUCUCUACCCUUGUCUUUCAAAACUUUCCAUUGUUCUCUUUUCUCUUUUUGCUUCUACUUUAAUGACUUGGUUAGUGGACCCCCCACCAGCCUCUAGCCUUCUUAGACCUUUUUGCAUAUCACAUGCUAUGUGAAAAGCAAAGGUUGCUCUAUCUGCCUGCAUGUACUCACAUUCACUUCUCACCUCAUUUAUUUUGGAUCUUGUUUUCUCUUCUGUAGCUUCACAACUGUGGGCCACAUCCAGUGGUGGUAGAACCAAGCCUGA